rnacentral:tRNA from 1 species
GCCCCCGUAGCUCAACCGGACAGAGCGGCGGACUUCUAAUCCGCGGGUUGCAGGUUCGAGUCCUGCCGGGGGCG